UCUUAUAGUAAAAUAAUUUAAAAUAAAAUAUUUACCUUGAAAGUAAAAAAUGUAAUAUUUUCUUUUACUUU
rnacentral:tRNA from 1 species